ACGCACGCUGGCGGCGUGCUUAACACAUGCCAGUCGAACGGUGAAGCGCCUUCCUUUUUGGUGGGUGUGGAUGAGUGGCGAACGGGUGAGUAACACGUGAGUAACCUGCCCCCUUCUUCUGGAUAACCGCAUGAAAGUGUGGCUAAUACGGGAUAUUCUGGGUCUGUCGCAUGAUGGGUCUGGGAAAGAUAUUGUUUCGGUGGGGGAUGGGCUCGCGGCCUAUCAGCUUGUUGGUGGGGUGAUGGCCUACCAAGGCGGUGACGGGUAGCCGGCCUGAGAGGGUGGACGGUCACACUGGGACUGAGACACGGCCCAGACUCCUACGGGAGGCAGCAGUGGGGAAUAGUGCACAAUGGGCGCAAGCCUGAUGCAGCGACGCCGCGUGAGGGAUGGAGGCCUUCGGGUUGUGAACCUCUUUCGCCAGUGAAGCAGGCCUGCCUCGUUUGUGGGUGGGUUGACGGUAGCUGGAGAAGAAGCGCCGGCUAACUACGUG
rnacentral:rRNA from 1 species